rnacentral:rRNA from 1 species
AUUGAACGCUAGCGGGAUGCUUUACACAUGCAAGUCGAACGGAGUGGCGGACGGGUGUGUAAUAUAUCGGAACGUGCCCAGUAGCUGGGGAUAACUACUCGAAAGCGUGGCUAAUCCCGCACACUAUUGGAGCGGCCGAUAUCGGAUUCGCUAGUUGGUGGGGUAAAGGCUCACCAAGGCAACGAUCCGUAGCUGGUUUGAGAGGACGACCAGCAACACUGGGACUAAGACACGGCACAGACUCCUACGGGAGGCAGCAGGGGGGAAUUUUGGACAAUGGGGGAAACCCUGAUCCAGCCAUCCCGCGUGUAUGAUGAAGGCCUUCGGGUUGUAAAGUACUUUUGGCAGAGAAGCGGUAUCUGCAGAAUAAGCACCGGCUAGCUACGUGCCAGCAGCCGCGGUAAUUC